CUUUCUUUCUUUCUUUCUUUCUUUCUUUCUUUCUUUCUUUCUUUCUUCUGGCUGCACCCACAGCAUAUGGAAGUUCCCAGGCCAAGGAUGGAAUCUGAGCCGCAGCUGCAACCUACAUCACAGUGGCAGCAACACUGGAUCCUUAACCCACUGUGCCGGGGCGGUGAUUGAACCAGGGCUUCAGCAGCGACCAGAACCGCUUCAGAGACAACAUUGGAUCCUUAACCCACUGUGCUGCAGCAGGGAUUCCAACGGUUGUAUUAUCCAGCCCUGGGGAGUUUAUAUAAUGAGAUGAGCCCCCACCCCCGCCAGGGCCGAUAUCCAGGCUGCAAGCUGCCAGGAGAGCUGGGGACCUGGGGGCCUCUGGAGUUCUCUCCCCUCCUAAGACCCUUGGAAUUACAAGCCUGGUCUUCCUGAUGGGAGGGGCGGACUCCCCACCGCCCCCUGCAACUUGACCGUCCUAGGUAUAGCAAUCACAGUACUAUUUGCCAUUUAAGGACAUUCACCUAGGAAGGAGCAGGACACCCAGUUAUCACAACUGGUUUCAGGAAUCUGGCAAAGUGAAUAUCUUUAUCUGAUUUGCAGGAGCUUAGAGGGUGUAUUGCCCCUCCACCAGUAGGUGGCAGAGCUGGGGCUCAACCUGGCUGUAUUGUUUCUAACCCUGCUGUGUUCCCAUGGCAGCAUCUAGCCUCUAAAGAUGGGCCAGCCCCGGGUUAACCCAGAGAGGAUGCACGCUGUGCCCUGUGACUACCAUCUCUGCGUCUCCGCCAGAUGGUAACUCACUUCAGGGCAACCAGUGUGGAUUCUAGAGUCAGAGCUGGGCCUGGAUCCCAGCACUGCUUUUUUUACCAGCUGUGUGACUUUCCACAUGUAACACGACCUCUCUGGGCUCCCGUUUCUACUCUGCCAAGGAGGGGAUCCUGCCUGCCUAUCUCAGGGACCCACUGUGAUGAGGAGCACCCCCGGGAAGCCCCCAGCACCAGCCCAGCCGUGGGAAGAAGCCAAGAAAUGUUCACUGUCACCACUGCCCUGCUUCGCCUGGCAGCCAGUGGGGGGUUGACGCCAAGUCCACGGCCAGUAAGGAAGGCCUGUGGGCUCAAGGAGGAGAUGAAUCGGGAUCAUGCGCUGCCAGAGCGUUGGGCUACACUGCUGGUGCUGCUGCUGGGGGGAGGUUUCCAGAUGGAGCUCAUCAACACGGCAGCCAGUGCAGAGGCUCAGGCCUGGGGGUCCCCUCCCCUCUCCGUGGGCCCCCCGGCCUACGAGGCCCACCCGAGCCAGGAGAGCGCCGAACCUCCCUUUCCCUGGCGUGCCUCAGACCUCCCCUGCGUCCCGAUGUUCAGCAAAGCAGCUGCCUGGAAGGCACCCAGGGCCGUCAUUCCUCGGGACGUGGGGGCCCCCUCCCCCAGGGCUGGGAUGCCAGAAGGACAAACCCCGCCAAACAUAUGGAUCCAGCCCCGGAAAGCCAGCAGCUGGGCCACUGGCUGACUCCUCCCCUGGUCCUUGGAAUAUUCUGGCAAUGAGAAGACACAAUCUCAGCAACUUAUACAACAUUUCCCAGGAUAUCCCAGUCUCUAAGGGGACCAUGUGUUCCUUUCUCACACAUUUAAAUCACUUUUCUUGGAAGACCAGUUCUAAGACGCACACACAUGCAUACACUUUUAAUCUGUUCCUUUAUACAUUUAAAUACAAUUUCAGUGGCAAGUCUAAUCACGCCAAUAAUGAACGUUUGUUUAGUUCGUGCUAAGGACAAAGGAACUCGUUAGCUCAUAGAGUUGCCAUGACGACUCUGGGCAUCCCCAUUUUACAGAUUUGGAAACUGAGGUGGGCUGCCUUGCAAAGUCAACGGCGUGGAUCCAGAGAGCCUGGAGCCCAGGAGCCCCACCUCUUCUGCAAUCUGCCUUCUCCAAGCAGGCGGAAGGAAUUAAAUGGCUGGUGAGAUCUGCAUUCCUCCUUGUGGGGGGAUGUUUUCAAUGUCAUCUUUUCCUUGGGCAUGUAAGGCUGACAAUGAGAGGGCCUCUCACCUGGAGUCUAUGACCCUGGAGGCUCAGGAAGAACCCCAGGCUGCACUUUCAACCACCAACCACAAGCUGACUUUCCCGAGCAGCUCGGCCCCUGCAAGGCACCCUCGCCUCUGCAUCCAAUGCCCAGGAACCAAGCCUCAAAGUUCAGCUGGCUUCCUCCAGAACAGACACUCGGAAACUGAAAUUUCCCACAUUUUCACCACAAAAAGCCAGGUGGUGUUUCUGUCCGCUUCAAAACAUGCCAAAGGAAUUUCUUCUUCCUCCUGAACUUUCUCCAAAAAUAAAUAGAGAAAGUGAACACCAUUUUGCCCUGUAAGCUGAGAAUAGAAAAAUCAACACGCGGGUGGCAUUUCCAAGACAUUACACAAUAGCGAGCGUGCGGAUCUGUCUCAACAGCGUUUGGCAACUUCGGGGAUAUAGUGGGUGAUAUUUCUCACCCAAAAAAACUCCUCGUGGCGCUUCCACUCACAGGUUUCUUUUCCUUUAAAACAAGAUCUAAAACAGGUAAGAGCCCCAAAUGAAUGAACACCGC
ensembl:lncRNA